rnacentral:rRNA from 1 species
UGGGGAAUAUUGGACAAUGGGCGAAAGCCUGAUCCAGCCAUGCCGCGUGAGUGAUGAAGGCCCUAGGGUUGUAAAGCUCUUUCACCGGUGAAGAUAAUGACGGUAGCCGGAGAAGAAGCCCCGGCUAACUUCGUGCCAGCAGCCGCGGUAAUACGAAGGGGGCUAGCGUUGUUCGGAAUUACUGGGCGUAAAGCGCACGUAGGCGGAUUGUUAAGUCGGGGGUGAAAUCCCGGGGCUCAACCCCGGAACUGCCUUCGAUACUGGCAAUCUAGAGUCCGGAAGAGGUGAGUGGAAUUCCGAGUGUAGAGGUGAAAUUCGUAGAUAUUCGGAGGAACACCAGUGGCGAAGGCGGCUCACUGGUCCGGUACUGGCGCUGAGGUGCGAAAGCGUGGGGAGCAAACA